rnacentral:tRNA from 1 species
AAGGGUAGAGCUCAGUGGUUGAGUGUGUGCCUAGCAAGCACGAAUUCCUGGGUUCAAUCCCCAGUACCUCCA